UACGUAGGGUGCGAGCGUUAAUCGGAAUUACUGGGCGUAAAGCGUGCGCAGGCGGUUCGUUAUGUCUGAUGUGAAAGCCCCGGGCUCAACCUGGGAAUGGCAUUGGAAACUGGCGAGCUUGAGUGUGGCAGAGGGGGGUGGAAUUCCGCGUGUAGCAGUGAAAUGCGUAGAGAUGCGGAGGAACACCGAUGGCGAAGGCAGCCCCCUGGGCUAACACUGACGCUCAUGCACGAAAGCGUGGGGAGCAAACAGG
rnacentral:rRNA from 1 species